UCUCCGUAGGUGAACCUGCGGAGGGAUCAUUACUGAGUGAGGGCUUCGGUCCGACCUCCAACCCCAUGUGAACCGAAACCUGUUGCUUCGGGGGCGACCCUGCCGUCCGCGGCUGAGCGCCCCCGGAGCCCAUCAAACCCUGCGUAACUAAGUCGUCGGAGUUUAAACAAAUUAAACAAAACUUUCAACAACGGAUCUCUUGGUUCGGGCAUCGAUGAAGAACGCAGC
rnacentral:misc_RNA from 1 species